UGAGCAAUGAGGAUAAAAUAUUCCAUUGAUAAACCCUGAUGACUGUAUACGCUAUUCUGAGCCAUGG
rnacentral:snoRNA from 1 species